rnacentral:lncRNA from 1 species
CGGUGACGGGCGCCUGUAAUCUCAGCUACUCAGGAGGCUGAGGCAGGAGAAUCGCUUGAACCCUGGAAGUGGAGUUUGCAGUGAGCCGAGAUCGUGCCACUGCAUUCCAACCUGGGCAACAGAGCAAGACCUUGUCUCAAAAAAAAAAAAAAAAAAAUGCUGACGCAAAAUGAUUUCUUACUGUGCGUCAGAAUUUUGGAAGCCACUGGUAGACAGUCCUUAGUUUCACACAAUGAUUUUCAGACAACUGCCCAUUCGCCAAUUCCAACCACCUCGGCCCACUGCCCAAAUCCAACGUUUCUGGUCUCCGGGCGGCGCUGCCUUAGCAGGAUCCGCCGCCAGGUGGCGCGCUCCCCCCGCCCGGAGUGGGUUUUGUUCCAUCCCGGACUUAGAUCUUCCAAGACGGCGAUUUCCUUCUGGUCGGGUCUCUUCCCGAGGAUCCGCUUUACUCGUACUAGAAACUCUGACCUCGAAUGCAGUUCCAGAAGCAGAACCCUGUAGGGGGUUUCAGGCGGCCAAGAAGGGAAGUGGUUCUCCUAAGACCGUCCCGGCUUCAGUCCACGGCGCUCACUAAAUGCCUCCCACGCCAGACGAGGUCCCCCGUCCCCGGAGCUCGCGUCCCAGAGGUGAGGACACACACGAACCCUCCUGCCCGAAUUCGCGACCCCGUCAGUGCAGGGAGGCUCUGGCCUGGGGCUGAAGAGCCGAGUCUCUGGUGCCUGACAGCACGGGGUCGAGCCCCUCCCGGCCACCUGCUGGCUGUGUGAUCUUGGGCAUCGUGCUUGGCCUCGCUGUGCCUCAGUUCCCCCCACUGUAAAAUGGUAGUGAUAACAGCAGCCACUUCAUAGCGUUGCAGGCGUUGCAUGAGUUAAUAGGUGCAAAGCGCUCAGAAGGGGGCCUGGCGUAUGUUUGCCAAAACGAUUGUUGAAAAUUCUCAGUUUACAUCUGUGAGAAUUGAGGACCAGUUGGGGGUAGAGGGUGGGGAAUCCCCAAAGUCGGCUAAGUUCAGCCUCAGCGACUGGAGGCGGGAGGGGUGUUCCCUCAGCUACAGAUGUUUCCCCCCUCCCGCCCCGGCCCCCUCCACCCCCGGUUGAAUCCAGGGAUUCUGAUUUCAGCCAUGGUCCUUUUCCUCCGCACAGCGCUCCCUGGGGGUGGGAGUGGACCCAGGCCCCUUGGCAAGGUCU